rnacentral:lncRNA from 1 species
ACACAGAACUGUAAAGAGGCUUGACAACACAGAAUAUAGCAGGAGUAUUACUUCCCUCACCUUGGUUGGCAGGAGCUGGGGCUAACAGCAGGCACUCAUUCCGCUCCCGGGAUUUGAAUCUGGGACCUUUUGGUCUGCAAGUUCAGCAGCUCAGCGCUUUAACACACUGUGCCAUCAGGGGCCCCACUGGUAAGUUUAUGUUGGUUAAAAAUGUUACUCAUUUUAAAUAUUGCAUUGUUCUUCCAUAGUUUUUUUUCCCCCCAAUACAAAUAAGAUACGUGCAGUGUGCAUAGGAAUUCAUUCAUGUUUGUUUCAAACUAUAAUCUGAAUCCCCAACAGUCUGAGAGGCUGUGAACCAGUCCUCGGCUUUAAAAGUUUGGGGACCACAAGUCUAUGCUGUUUGUUUCUUGUUUUUCUCAUCAUUAUUGGGUUGAAUGAAGCAGCUUUAAAGAGGUUCAUGGUGGGACUGAAUCAACCCCCUUUUUUUCCAAACUCCCCUCCCCUUUUGGUAGAGGUUGGGUCCACUCCCCACACCAGCAAAUUAUCAUAAACAAACAGCAAAAGGGCAGAUAUACACAUGUGCACAUCUUUCCUAGCAACUGGUUGAGUGAAAAAACAUAGGACAAAACAAAAGCUGGAAAAAAUGCACAUCUUCUGCCACUGCCACCCCCUCAAAGGAAUGACUCACUAGCAACCAAGCUCUUUUAUACACAUGCUGAGUCGCAGCUCCCAAGCACACACCCUGGGCAUGCACAAACAUGCCAAUUGAGAAAUAAAGGCCCCUUCCACACAGCUAUAUGAGAUCCACAUUGAACUGGAUUAUUUGGCAGUGUGGACUCAGAUAAUCCAGUUCAAAGCAGAUAUUGUGGAUUAUCUUCCUUGAUAUUUGAGGUUAUAUGGCUGUGUGGAAGAGCCCAAAGACAGUGUCCUUUUAUAAAAGUGGAACUCUUUGCCUUGUAGUGUGGUGAAAGUUCCUUCCCUGGAGACUUUUAAACAGAAGCUGGAUGGUCACCUGUCAGGGGUGCUUUGAUUGUGCUUUUCCUUGCAUGGCAGGGGGUUGGACUAAAUGGCCCAUGUGGUCUCUUCCAGCUCUAUGAUUCAAAGGAGACCAACAAGAUUACACUCAUUUUCCUUUCACAUGGCUCUUGAGUAGAAGAAAGAGAAAAUCAAGAAUCUAUUGAAUUCCAUUCAAAUUCUAGAGUGAAGAGGAGAAGCCAGGAAGACAUUUCCAUCUUGACUUCUGUGCCAUCAACUAGAGGCCCCUCCCCCCAGUAACAUGCUACGCUAAUAAUAUAAUACUAUAUAUACAUAUAAUAUAUAAUAUACAAUAAUAUAUUUUUUUUGUGUCAGGAGCAACCGGAGUUGCUUCUGGAGUGAGAGAAUUGGCUAUCUGCAAGGACGUUGCCCAGGGGACGCCCGGAUGUUUUGAUGUUUUCCCAUCCUUGUGGGAGGCUUCUCUCAUGUCCCCGCAUGGAGCUG